UACGUAGGGUGCGAGCGUUGUCCGGAUUUACUGGGCGUAAAGAGCGCGCAGGCGGUCGGAUUAGUCGCGUGUGAAAGCCCCCGGCUCAACUGGGGAGGGUCACGCGAUACUGUUCGACUCGAAGGCAGGAGAGGGAAGUGGAAUUCCCGGUGUAGUGGUGAAAUGCGUAGAUAUCGGGAGGAACACCAGUGGCGAAGGCGACUUCCUGGCCUGUUCUUGACGCUGAGGCGCGAAAGCUAGGGUAGCAAACGGG
rnacentral:rRNA from 1 species